CUUGCUUUAACAUAAGAGGUCCAGCCUGCCCAGUGACACAAUUAAACGGCCGCGGUACCCUGACCGUGCGAAGGUAGCAUAAUAACUUGUUCUUUAAAUGGGGACUAGCAUGAACGGCACCACGAAGGCCUCACUGUCUCCUUUUUCUAAUCAGUGAAACUGAUCUCCCCGUGAAGAAGCGGGGAUAAUAAUAUAAGACGAGAAGACCCCAUGGAGCUUUAAACCCAGCAAGCAACCCUAAUCUACAUAACCCAUCUAAAUUAUUUACUCCCCUGCUUCCUGGUUUUAGGUUGGGGUGACCACGGAGUAAAACACAUCCUCCAUGACGUACGAGAUUAACCCUUAUCCAAGAGCUACUUCUCUAAGAAUCGAUAAAUCGACGUUUUAUGAUCCAAUGUAUUGAUCAACGAACCA
rnacentral:rRNA from 1 species